GACGAACGCUGGCGGCGUGCUUAACACAUGCAAGUCGAACGCUGAAGCUUGGUGCUUGCUCUGGGUGGAUGAGUGGCGAACGGGUGAGUAAUAAGUGAGUAACCUGCCCUUGACUCUGGGAUAAGCCUGGGAAACUGGGUCUAAUACUGGAUACGACAUGUCACCGCAUGGUGGUGUGUGGAAAGGGUUUUGCUGGUUUUGGAUGGGCUCACGGCCUAUCAGCUUGUUGGUGGGGUAAUGGCUCACCAAGGCGACGACGGGUAGCCGGCCUGAGAGGGUGACAGGCCACACUGGGACUGAGACACGGCCCAGACUCCUACGGGAGGGAGCAGGGGGGAAGAUUGCACAAGGGGCGGAAGCCUGAUGCAGCGACGCCGCGUGAGGGAUGACGGCCUUCGGGUUGUAAACCUCUUUCAGCACGGAAGAAGCGAAAGUGACGGUACGUGCAGAAGAAGCGCCGGCUAACUACGUG
rnacentral:rRNA from 1 species